rnacentral:rRNA from 1 species
UGGGGAAUAUUGCACAAUGGGCGCAAGCCUGAUGCAGCAACGCCGCGUGAGGGAUGACGGCCUUCGGGUUGUAAAACCUCUUUUAGUAGGGAAGAAGCGAAAGUGACGGUACCUGCAGAAAAAGCACCGGCUAACUACGUGCCAGCAGCCGCGGUAAUACGUAGGGUGCGAGCGUUGUCCGGAAUUAUUGGGCGUAAAGAGCUCGUAGGCGGUCUGUCGCGUCUGCUGUGAAAACCCGAGGCUCAACCUCGGGCCUGCAGUGGGUACGGGCAGACUAGAGUGCGGUAGGGGAGAAUGGAAUUCCUGGUGUAGCGGUGGAAUGCGCAGAUAUCAGGAGGAACACCGAUGGCGAAGGCAGUUCUCUGGGCCGUAACUGACGCUGAGGAGCGAAAGCGUGGGGAGCGAACAGGAUUAGAUACCCUGGUAGUCCACGCCGUAAACGUUGGGCGCUAGAUGUGGGGACCAUUCCACGGUUUCCGUGUCGCAGCUAACGCAUUAAGCGCCCCGCCUGGGGAGUACGGCCGCAAGGCUAAAACUCAAAUGAAUUGACGGGGUCAUAGCUG